rnacentral:tRNA from 1 species
UAGCUCAGUCAGUUGAGCGUGGCACUAACAACACCAAGGUCAUGGGUUCGAUUCCCAU